CUGGGAUUACAGGCUUGAGCCACCGCGCCCGGCUCUAUUUCUUUAAAACUUGGCCGGGUGCGGUGGCUCACGCCUGUAAUCCCAGC
rnacentral:miRNA from 1 species